AUUAGGGGAGGUCUGCUCAGCUGUGGGGCACAGAAGACAGGAUCGGUGAUGGUCUCCACCAUGGCUUGGUCUCCGGUCCUUCUCACCCUCCUCGCUCACUGCACAGGGUCCUGGGCCCAGUCUGUAUUGACUCAGCCACCCUCGGUGUCAGGCUCCUUGGGCCAGAGGGUCACCAUCUCCUGCACUGGAAGCAGCUCCAACAUUGGUAGCAAUUAUGUGAACUGGUACCAACAACUCUCAGGAACAGCUCCCAAACUCCUCAUCUAUCGUAAUAGCAGUCGACCCUCAGGGGUCUCUGAUCGAUUCUCCGGCUCCAAGUCUGGCAGCACAGGCACCCUGACCAUCACUGGGCUCCAGGCUGAGGACGAGGCUGAUUAUUACUGCCUGAGCACAUUUUCUGUUUGAUGUGAACUGAGCAGAAAUUCCUGGAUGCUGGGGCCGGUUGCCCUGAGGAUAGAGUCCUUGAGGAUUGUGCCUGCCUGCUGGCGCUGCCAUAACAUAAUACCACACACUGGGUGAGCAAAUCAAAAGAUACUUACUUUCUUACAGUUUUGGAGGCUAAAUGUCCAAGUUCAAGGUGGUGGCAAGUUUGAUGUCCCCUGAGGUCUCUCUCCUUGUCUUGCAAAUGGUUACAUUCGUCCUGGUUCCUCACAUGGCAUUUCCAUAUUCU